GUCUCCUGACUUGCGUCUCGUCAAAACUACAGUCUGAGACCAGGUUUGUGUAACUGUCCUGUUUAUGAGCGCAGGCCUGCCAGGUGGGUGGAAGAUUUGGACUCUGUAAAACUACCUUCCCUGCUCUCUUUCGUCGCUCUGGCCCACGUGUGCCGUGGCCACAGUACCACAAACACUCCCCUGGAGGAGUUGAGAGUGCCACAGAUGUGGCCACACCCCGCUCUCCUUCAGGUCUUGCCUCUGUAAACUCCUCCAAACCCACCCUUCCACCUUCCAGCCUGGUUUUCAAAAGAAACAGAAAAUGAUUAAUGCACAGAGCUGAGAAUGGCUCAGAUGAAGCGAGUGUGUCCAGAGGUUCUGCGAGAGGUCAGAUCAAUUGAAGGACUCUUGAAAAGCAGCCCAUCCCUGCCUUGGGUUGCAGAAGCAAGUUUAACUGGAUGGCACUUAUAUCAGCUAUUAGAACAACUACAAUGAGCUGCAUGACCCUCAUGCUCUUUCUGUCCUGUUGUUGGACCCUUCUAAUGGAACGUAAUGCAUGAGCACUUCCCAAACCAAAACAGAAGGAGGGAGCAGACAGAGGAAUUGUCAGAAACAUACAGACAGCUGCCUCCGAGGCCUCAAAUGAGAGCUCCGCUGAGGAUAACAUAAGCGGCCUGUUUGCAUAAGAUGUUGUGGGAGGUGACUCAAUGCCUGUGGGGAUGCAGUGAGGAGAUAGACUGUUUGGAUCCCUGCCACUUCCACACUCUCAAUUACAGCAUUUGGCUGGACCACUUCUGGCUGGCCGCGAAAAAGCGGCCUCCACCAGAUGGGCUGGGAGCAGCAGCCAUGCAGUGGUAAACCAGACGCAGAUCACCUACACUUCCUCUGGCUUCUCGCGCUGCAGCAAACACAGUCUAGUCAAAAUAAUGGAGUUCUCAGACAAAGUGUAAAUAUACUCACAUCAGAUGGAGGCAGAGACAAAAAAUAAUUCUUCUCAUGAACAGGAAACAUACUCAUGUCAGAAAACAUUUAGGCCUCCGUACACUCCGUACAAUCCUGAUUAAGCAAUAUUGUACUGCUGUACUGAACAUUAGCCAACAUGUUGAUAUUCAGACCAACAGCACAAUUGCUGCAAAUGUGAUAUUGACAGUUCAUUAAACAAACAAACUGAUAUUGAGUGAAUAUCUGACAAAAUUCAGCCAGUUUGUAUCUUUUUCUCUGGCCCACCAAUGGAAAUAGUUAGUGGCUGUUCACACAGAACAUGAUUUUGCAUUCAACUGUGUUGAUUUUCCAUAGUUUUUCUUUGUAAACAUGCGCUGGCCGUUUUUUGACCAUUGCACUCCUCUUUUUCAGUGCCUUGUGGAUUACACUGUUAAAAACCUAAAAAAACAUGUCUCCAGACAUUGUGUUCCUGUUUUUUAUUUCACUGUGUUUCACGUUUUAAAUGCAAAAAUUCAUUCAGUGUGAAUAGCCCCAAAUGCUGCUUGAGGACUAAUACUAAAUCACAUAAUUUAGGACAAAGCACAUGAGAUGAUGAAAUAUAAUGUUGCUCAACUACACAAGCACAUCCUCAUGAAUUCAGUGUCUUUUAUUGUUCCCAUUUGUGCUAUCUUACUGUAAGUAUCCCAGAGUUCAUUUCAUUACUUGCUCUGUUAGGAGGUUCAAAGUGGGGGAUGUGAAAAAAUAAAACUUCAAAUGCAAGAUGGACUGGAAGGAUAUAUUCUAACUUACUUCAAAAGAUUUACUCUUUCCUUUGGACUACUUACUAGUAGUUACAUUUAACUCCCUCAAAAUUCAAAGUAGUGGUCGACUGGUAUGUUUUUCAGAUGUGGGUUCUUAAAUUAUUAUGAUAGUUGGCUUACUGUAAUAAUAUGUUUAAAUUAUUGACAUUAAAUACUUCCGCUUCACUAAUCAAAACAUUUCAAUCUCUAAAUCUUUAUACCACCAUAGGACAUUUUCUGCUUUCUGACAGAUUAUUCCACUAACAAAAUAUGCCUUAAGAGCAAACUGGUGAAACCAUUUGAGGAUUUACCUCAAAGAUGUGUCAGAAGUCUUUACUAUAAUAUGUCCUCAUAGUUCAUGGUGUGGUGCAUUUUACAUAGUUUGACAACUCUUAAAUGAGCUCUGGAUGCUAAAGGUGGAAAAUUAUUCUCUGGCUAAAUCAGUGGUCUUGACACACAUUUCUCUCAUUAUAAGACAACCUCAUCUCCUCAUAGAAUACCAAAAGUAUCAGUUGCUUUCAGAAACUGGUGUGUAUGCAGAAGAUUUACAGGAAAUGGGAGCCCAAAGGCAAAAGACUUAGUCAUGAUGAUGGGCCCUUGUUCUUUUCAGAGGGUUUCAGAGGUUCAGAAUAAAUUUCCCAUAAGAUUUUAAGACCGUACCAGUAACUGACUGUACAACAAAAGCUAUUUCAUUUGAACUUAUGUCCAGUAUUCUGCACAUUUUAAUGAGCUGUUUCGAA